rnacentral:lncRNA from 1 species
CACUUCAGUGAGCAUUGGCCCUGACCAUGCACAGAUAAUAAAAGCUGGCAUUGAACUUUGCCAUGUCCCAGGCAUCGUGCAUCCCACAAAUCUUGUUUACUGGUCAUUUUACAGAUGGAAAAAACUAAGGCUGAGAGAGAAAAAGCAACUUUGCCCAAGGUGGAAACCCAUCCUAAGGUCCUAAAGGCCCACUUUCGUGCCCGUGGGAGAGACAGGCAGGCAAAAGGAUUAUGGUGUCACGCCACGGGACAUCGUGGGACCCAGAGGAAAGCACAGCAGAAGACCACCUGGAGGGCACACCUGAGAUGGUGACAGCCUGACUGACAAAGGAUAGAGUCCCCAGAAGAGCAGCAAGGGCUAGAGCAGAGUCCAGAGAGAGCAGGGCAAGUAGCUCAGCAAGUCAGAGCAGGGCGGGAGGAGAGAGGCGGGAAGCGGCCCAGCCAGAUCCGUCUGGACAUGUAGGAAGGAGUUCAGGGUAAGAAGUUUAAACUGUCUAGGGGCUCGGGAUGUCGCUCAGUGGCCCAGGGCAUGCUGAGCAUGCAGGAGGCCCUGGGUUCCCUCCCCAGCAGCACAAGGAAGGAAAAAAAGAAAGGAAGAAAAGCUAUCUGCGGAGGGUAAUAGGGAGCCUAGGAAGAGACUUGAGCUGGAGAGUAGCAAAGUCAGGUUUGUAUUUUGACUGUGGGUAGGAUCCAAUCCCAACGACAUUCAAGUAAUAUUCAUCCAGUGGCCUAACUAUCUGCCAGAUGUUGAUUAUAAAGUGAAUCAUUUUCCUUUUAAGAUUCUGUUAAGUUUGUAACAAAUGCUCAGAUCAACAUCUAAGUGGCUUUAGCUCUUAAAAGGACACAUAAAUGUUCAUUCCCAAGCGUCAUAAGUGUGGACUUGGAAUUUGGCCCACCCAUCCUCCCAGAUGAUCCACAGCCGAGGUCCAAGGCAGUGAGGUCGUGAGCAAGUAACUUUGCCUCUCUGAGCCUUAGUUUGUCCUUCUCUAGAAUGGGAAUAAUAAAGACACUUCUCUGAGCGAGCGGGCCGCUGAGGGCAGGAAAUGGGAGCCUCUUAGGGAGAGUCCAGAGCGGGCAGCUGACAAGUGCGCAGGAAGCAUUCCUGCUGAGGGUGCAGGUGACAUCUGUCCAGGGAGAACACAGGUUCUCUCUUUCAUGGGCCCAAAAGCCACCGAGUCUUUAGCUGCCUGGCAGAGAGAGAAAGGAGGAAGGAGAGAAGACCAAGAAAGACGCCAGUUUCCCCAGGGUUCAACCCAUGCUGAAGCAGAGAGAAACCUCCGGAGGGUAGUUGGCUUUCCUUGUUGGACCUACUGAUAACAGGAGCCGGGUUGCCAUGGCAGCAGAAGGCGCGGAUGCCCCACCCGAGGGCUCUUCAGCCCACCGCUGAGCGCCCAGCAGCCCCGGCAGCUUCCCAGCUCAACGCCCCCAGCCUUCUCGUUCCUUUUUGGUGGCUUUUUGCAGCGGCAGUGGGCACUUGUUUAGUCCACCUGCAGGGCUUUCUGGAAACAUCUGAGAUUUUAUGCCCGUGGGGCAACCCUUAACCAAAGAGGAAAGGGAGAUGACCCAAGGAUUUAUCAGGUUCCCAUCUCUCAGCGGGACACACUUGAGGUUCUUCUGGGCCUUCCCACAGGGUCCUCAGCAGGACUGACACAGCCGCCCACAGUCGCAUUGUGCUCCUGACCCCACCCUCCCUGCUCUGUGCUUCC